rnacentral:lncRNA from 1 species
ACUUGAAUUAAUUGAAAAAAAUGAUUAAGUAGGGAAUAACAGUUAAAAUCUAGAAAUUCAAGGAUAAGUAAAUAAUAGUUAAAGAAGAUAUUGGAGUGGUUAGAUUGUGAUUGUCAUGAGCCGGGAUAAGCUUGGUGCUAUUUCUUAUUUCUUAUUUAUUUUGUUGUUUUAGGUUUUGAUCAUUAUGAAGUGAAUCUAUAGAAUAAAUCAAAGAUUGAUUUAUAAGAUAUUAAGUAUGUAUUGAAGUACUAUGUGAUUGAAUUAUUAUAAAAAGAUAUUAAAAGUUUGUUAUCAAAUUCUAUAAGAAAUUAUUUAUGGAUGGAAGAUUAUGAUUAUUAUUUAUUGAGAGUUAUAUGUGUUUUGACGGAGGAAGUCUAGAUUACAAAAAUUACGUGAAGCCAAAUUGGUUGGAGUGGAAGUCUGUUAUUUUUGUUGUUGGAUGGAAUUUAUGUGAUUUGAAUAGUCUUUUGAGAGAGCAGGGUUACACUUUAUUAUUAUCAAUUGAUGAAGGAGUAUUGUUAGUGGGAGAAAGCAUUGUAGUAUUCUUUGGUAUUUUUAGUGGUUUGGAAUACGAUUAAUUAUGUGAUUCUAACAUAUAAGUUCAUGUGGUUAGUCUUUCUUUGUAUUUGAAUGUCCUUCUAUACAUUUAUUUUGAAAAGAAUUUGUAGAAUAAGUAAAAUAAUAAUCACAUAUUGUAAAAAAUUAUCUUAAAAAAAUAGAUAGUAUUCAAGGGAUAGAAAAUUUAAAGGUGCUAAUACUGCCUUUUUAUAAAAUAGACUUCUAUUCACUUUGUAGGACCACAAAUAGAGCAAAAUAAGAUAGAUUGGAAAAAUAAAAAAUAUAUGCACCUUUGAAAAGAAAUUAAAAGUAGUUUUUAGCAAAAAUUAUUUAGAAAAAUUAGAUAUUGAUACUUAAAAAGAGCCAGUUAUGAAUUAGGAUUGAAAUUAGACUAUGAGGCACAAAACUGAGCUCCAGUGACGAUUUUGGGAUUUUUUGGCAAAUCAAAGAGUAGAAUUAGAAAACAAACUUAAUAAGGUUUCAAUGAACAUUAUUUUGAGGUAAUUUGGAUUUUUAUUGACUUUGUAAGAGCUUUACAAAAUUAGGGUUUGUUUUGGAUGACUUUGGAUUUGUGAAAUAAAAGAGGAGAUACUUUUUGGAGAAUUUUGUAAAUUUUGCAAUAGAUUCAAAAGUAAAAUUUUAUAAGUUUAUGGAUUUAUAUGUGUUUAAUAUAUAUUGUGAAUUUGAGCUAGAUCAAAGGAAUAAAUUAAGGGUUAUUAAGGUUUAAGUGGGUUAAAAACUUAGGAAGUACAGUUUUAAAUCUAGUAAGAGUUUCUAAGAUUUCUUGCAAUCCAGGAGUUGGAUUGAAGUAAAAAUUAUAUAUAUAGAUAGUAGACUUAUUUUUCUAUAUAUUUGAAAAAUUUGAGAUCAAUUGAAUGGUUUAAUAAGGAGAUAUUGGGGCUGAAAAUUAAACAUUUAGAUUAGAGAAGGAGGUUGGCCAACAUCCAAACAAAUAUUAAGAUUGAUCUUUUUUUUCAUGAGUAUGAUCUUCUUUAAAACUUUGAUGUUUGCUGUCAACUUAAUUUUUGAAAGACGUGCAAAUUUUGAGUUAAAAUCAACAAUUCAUUCAUUAGUUAUUGAGGUUUAAAUAUGCUAUAGGAAUUAUUUGGGAUUAUUUAGGAUUUAGUUAGGAUAUGUUUAAAAAUUGAUUAGAAUUUGAUUAAGAUCAUUUAGGAUUUUAUUAGGAUUUACUUAGGAUUUGUUUAGGAUUUGAUUAGGAUUUGUUUAGGAUUUGACUAGGAUUUGAUUAAGGUUUGUUAGAAUUUGGUUAAGAUUUGUUUAGGAUUUGUUUAGGAUUUUUUAGGAUUUGGUUAAGAUUUUUUUAGGAUUUGGUUAAGAUUUGUUUAAGAUUUGAUUAGGAUUUGGAUAAGAUUUGUGUAGGCUUUGACUAGUACUUAUUUAAGUUUUAUUUAAGAUUUGGAUAGGAUUUUUUUUAAACUUUGAGUAGGAUUUAUUUAGGAUUUGCUUAGGAUUUGGAUAGGAUUUGGUUAAAAUUUGUUUAGAAUUUUAUUAGGAUUUGUUUAUGAUUUUUUUAGGAUUUUUUAGGAUUUUUUAGGAUUUAUUUAAGAUUUUUUUAGGCUUGACUACGGUUUAUUUAUGAUUUGGUUAGGAUUUGUUUAGGAUUUUGUUAGGAUUUGGUUAGGAUUUGUUUAGGAUUUGUUUAGGAUUUGACUAGGAUUUUAUUAAGAUUUGAUUAGGAUUUAUUUAGGAUUUGUUUAGGAUUUGAUUAAGAUUUGUUUAAAAUUUGUUUAAGAUUUGUUUAGGAUUUGUUUAGGAUUUGUUUAGGAUUUGGUUAGAAUUUUUUUAAGGUUUGACUAGGAUUUAUUUGAGAUUUGAUUAGAAUUUGUAUAGGAUUUGGUUAAGAUUUGUUUAGGAUUUGUUUGGGAUUUGGUUAGGAUUUGUUUAGGAUUUUGUUAAGAUUUGGUUAGGAUUUGUUUAGAAUUUGACUAGAAUUUGAUUAAGAUUUGAUUAGGAUUUAUUUAGGAUUUGUUUAGGAUUUGAUUAAGAUUUGUUUAAAAUUUAUUUAGGAUUUGUUUAGGAUUUUUUUAGGAUUUAUUUAAGAUUUGGUUAGAAUUUUUUUAAGGUUUGACUAGGAUUUAUUUGGGAUUUGAUUAGAAUUUGUAUAGGAUUUGGUUAAGAUUUGUUUAGGAUUUGUUUGGGAUUUUCUUAGGAUUUUUUUUGGAUUUGACUUGGAUUUGACUUGGAUUUGACUUGGAUGUGAUUAAGGUUUGUUUAGGAUUUGAUUAAGAUUUGGUUAGGAUAUUUUAGGAUUUGAUUAGGAUUUUUUAAAGAUUUGGUUAAGGUUUGUUGAGGUCUUAUUUAGGAUUUGGUUAAGAUUUGGUUAGAAUUCGACUAGAAUUUGAUUAAGAUUUGUGUAGGAUUUGAUUAGAAUUUGGUUAGGAUUUGAUUAAGAUUUGGUUAAGAUUUAUUUAAUAUUUGAUUAGGAUUUGGUUAGAGUUUUUUUAGGAUUUGAUUAAAAUUUGAUUAAGAUUUAUUUGUGAUUUGAUAAGACUUUGAUUAGGAUUUGUUAAGAUUUGAUAAAGAUUUUUUAGGAUUUUAUUAAGAUUUGUUUAGGUUUUUUUUAGGAUUUGGUUAGAGUUUGAUCAUGAUUUGACUAGGAUUUGGUUAAGGUUUGUUUAGGAUUUUAUUUGAAUUUGGUUAGGAUUUUUUUAGGAUUUGGUUAAGAUUUAUUUAAGAUUUGAUUAGGAUUUGGAUAGGAUUUAUUUAGGCUUUAACUAGGAUUUAUUUAAGAUUUGGUUAGGAUUUAGAUAGAAUUUGGUUAGAAUUUAUUUUGGAUUUGACUAAGAUUUAAUUAAGAUUUGUUUAAGAUUUUGAUUAGGAUUUAUUUAAGAUUUUAUUAGGAUUUGUUUAGGAUUUGGUUAGGAUUUAUUUAGAAUUUGAUUAGAAUUUAUUUAGGAUUUGGUUAGAAUUUGUUUAUGGUUUGUUUAGAAUUUGGUUAAAAUUUGUUUAAAAUUUGAUUAGAAUUUGGUUAAGAUUUGUUAAGAUUUGACUAGGAUUUAUUUAGAGUUUGGUUAGAAUUCGACUAGAAUUUGAGUAGAAUUUGAUUAAGUUUAGACUAAGAUUUAAUUAAAGUUUUUAUUUUAAUAUUUUAUUAAUUUUUCUAUUUUAGUAUAUUUUUAAAUUUUAAUAUUAUUAUGAUUCUUUAAAGGAUUUCUUAGAAUACUUUGUAUUCUGACAUAAUUCCUUUAAAAUUUUAAUUAAAUUUGAUUGAUGUUUGAUUGUAUUUGCUAAUCUUUAAUUAUAAUUUGUUUAAAAAUCUAUUAAAAUGGUUAGGACUUAUUACUACAAUUUUCCUUCUAUCUUCCACAGUCAGGUGCCCGAUACAUUUUCAAGCCAAAUGCCAUGUAAUACGACAUACUUUAGUGAAUCCAUUGUAAAAAGCUUGAAAUAGAAGGUAUUUAGAAAUUUUUCUUGGUUUAUUUGAAUUAUGGAGAAGAAAGGCAAGAAGAUGGAAGGUUGAAUUUUUAAUAGUGCUUCAAGUGAAAUUGGAAGUGGUGCUAUAAGUAGAGUUGGAAGUGGAGCUUCAACUGGAUGACAAGGUAUGUAUUUUGACUCGAACUUUACAAGCAUGUUUGAGGCAUUUACUUUAUUUAUAUAACAAUAUGUUUAAGAUCGCAAAGAAGGUAUGGCAAAAAAAGCAUUGCAAACGGUUGUAGAUAAGAUUGAUCAAUUUGAUGGAAAGAAUAUUAUAAAAUAUUUAAAUUAUUAUGUAAAGGAGAUGGAAUUGAAGCAUGUUUCAAAGAAUGAGAUGGUUCAAUUAUCUAAACUAGGUACUGCACCAAAAAUAAAAAGUCAUGUGAAGUCCAUUAUAGGACAAUCUGGAGGUUCAUGGAAAAAUUUAUCUCAAGUAUUAAAAGAUGAGUAUUUUUUAAAAGAUAGUCAUAUGGUCAUAAAAAAUCUAUUUUUUAAGUGGAUUGAAAGACCUAACAAGGGUCUCUAAGCAACAAAAUUAUUGAAGGAGUUUGAAAGGCAAUAUUCAUCUUUAUAAAAAAAAAGAUAAUUAUUAGAUCUAAGCAAAGUGGAGUUAUUUCUUCAAGCAAGUGAUGAAAAAUUACAAGAUAAGUUGGAAAUUUUGCUUGAAUAUAAAGAAGAAGAAGAAGGAUUGACAACAAAUUUGAAGAAAGUAGAAGAAGCAAUAGGAUUACUUACAAAAAAAGAAAGAAAAAAGGACAAGGUGGGUGUUCAAAAAUCAUUGCAAGUAUCUAAGGUAAAAAUACCUUCUAUUCAUCCUACAUUUUUGACUCAAUCUUCAAUGUCUAUAUCAAAGAAAGAAGAAAUAAGCAUGGAUGAAAUCAUAUGUAGAAUGAGAUAUUCACAACUUAAAUUUGUAAAACUUGAGGAUAAGGGAUAAAUAUCAAGAAUGUCAACAAGACAAAAAUCAGGACCAAUGGAAGGUAUAGUGCAUUGGUGCAUGUGAUGUAAUAGCAUAGAUCAUUCAAAAAAUGAGUGUGAAGAUUUUUCAGAGGUGCUAUGCAAAAAAAUUAUUUUUUUUAAAGAUAGUAUAAUACACUUAAAAGAGAGUAGAGAAAAAUUAGAAAUAAAUUUUUGUAAAGGAAGAAUGAAGGUAUUUGUAGGAGAUGUUUUUAAAAUAUAUAGAAUUUCAAGCAAUGAAGCAUCAACAUUUUGGGUGGAGGCAAAUCCAAGCAAAUAUUUAAGUAUAAGUCUUAAGUAUGAAGGAGAAUCUAAUUCUUUGUUAUGAAGUAGAAUGAAUUAUGUUAAAAAGAAAAAAAUUACUAGAGAUGAUUUAAAAAAUAUUGGCAAUAAUAUUCAGAAAAUUACUUGGUGGGAUGAUCCACUAGAUAGAUUAUCAGUUCAUGUUCAUAUUGCAAGGAGUCAAUAUGAAGGAUUAAUAGAAGAAAAAUGAAGGAAAGAUGAAAAUCAUGAAGGGCCAUCAAAAAGAAUCAUAAGGCAAGAGAAAACAUGACAAUAGAAGAAUCUUAUGCAUGAAGAGACAAUAGAGAAUAUUUCUACAAAAGAGAAAGAGAUUAUAAAAGAAAAAGCAAAGGUUCUUGCUUAUAAAUUACAAUCAGAUAUAGAAGCUAUUAUAGAUUUGAAGAAGGUAUUGAAAGAGCAUAUUUUAAGUAGAAAGAUUGAAUUUAUAAUUGAUGAAAUUAUAGGAAUUGCAAAACGAGAGUUUUAUAAAGUUGUUAUUGAUACAAUAAAAAGAAAAUGGCAAUCUAUUGGUGAUUCUAUGAUAUCAAAUGCACGAGAUACAAGAGUAAUAGGAAGCAAUGAAGAUGAAGAAGUUGAAAUGCAAAUUAUUAGAGAUGUUUUACGAUUCAAAUUUACAAAGAAAGAAGAUAUGAUUCAAGCUUUUAGUCAUUAUUUUCAAAGUCAUUGUACAAGGACUACUAUAAAAACUUUAAUAAAAUUAGAAAAAUAAAAAUAACCAAUUGUAACAUUGAUUGAUCAUGGUUUUGAAAUCAUAUUAAUAUCAAUAUAAUUAUAUAAAAGAAAAAAUUGGCCUAUUGAUAUUGAGCAUGGGUGGAUGAUAAGAGCAAAAAAUAAUUCAAAAAGAGAUUUGUAUGGAGCUUGUCCAAAUGUCAAGGUGACAAUAUGAGAUGUUAUUCAUGAAUAAAUUUUUUUUGUGCAAGAUAUGUCUAUAUACCCUAUUAUAUUGGGACAACCAUAUAUUACUACCACACCAAUGGAGACAAAGAUUAUGGAUGAUAGAUCAGCUUAUACAAAGAUAAGAAGUCAAGACAAAAAGAAAGUGGCAUAACUUUUAACAAUUUAUAUAAAUCAUAGAAGAAAUUAGAAUAGUUUGAAAGAACAUCCUUUGCCAAAGAUACACAAAGAAAUUUAAAGAUCUUAAAGAUUCAAAGGAUUUUUACUAGAUGCCAUUGUAAAGCAGGAUUGUGAUAGUAAAAAGACUAAAGGCUUUCUACUUAGUAGAAAGGAUGAUGAUAUUAUAGGAUUAUCAUGAGAUGGAUAUAUCUUAUUUAAAAAUAUAAAUAAUUUUAGAAAGAUAGAUAAGAAAAAUGUCAAAAAUAUAGAAUAUGAAUUAAAAAAAUGUGGAAUGAUUGAUGAAGAUGAAUACAUAUCAAGGAUAUUUAAAAAAUCUUGUUUCGAUGAUACUAUGGAUGAUUUAUAAAUAUUAUUGAAUGAAGAUUUUGAAGGAGAUAAUAAGGUAAUAAAUGUGUAUUCUAAGUAAUUUUAUGAUAGAAUAAAAGAAUAUAUAAAUAAAUAUGAAGUGAAUAUAAAUACAAAAUAUAAAACCAUUGCAAGAAAGGUUAAAUUAGUAGCUUUGCCACUACUAUUGAAUUUUGAAGAAAAAAUUAAAGGGGUUUCUAUGCAACCAAACUUAACAAAUCCAAGGAAAAUAGGUCAUGAAUUUAAGGAUGAUUUGACAUUUAAUGGUUUGAAAAUUGGAUGUAAUAAAUUUUUUAACAAGAGAUAAACAGAGAUGUUUUAAAGAAAUGCUUUUACAACAUAGUAAGGCAUUUGUAUUUGAAUCAUAUGAAAUAUCGUGCAUUGAUCCAUGUAUUAUAGUACCUAUGGUUAUUUUAAUAAUUCCAUAUGAACCAUAGAAUUUGAGGCCAAUUCGAGUUCCAAAGGCCCAUUUGCCAAAGCUAGUUGAAUUACUCUAUGAAAAGAUUAAGAUGGAAAUUUUAGAACCAUCUAUUGUAUCAUAUUCCAAUCGGUGGUUCACGGUACCUAAAAAAAAUGGGACAUUGAGGUGUAUUCAAGAUAUAUAACUGAUAGAUAAGAUAACUAUUAGAAACAUAGACUCAAGUCUAAUUAUGGCACACAUGAUGAAUGGAAUACAUAAGGUAUUAAGAAAUUUUAUUUUAAAUAUAAUAAUAUCUUUUUUAGAUGAUGUGCCAAUUAAGACAUGUAAAGAAGAAAAAAAAGAUAAAACUUUGGAUUCAAAAGGAUGUAAGAAGUUUGUGGCAGAUCAUAUUGAUGAUUGUAAAAAGAUUUUGACAAAAUUAGAAGAGGUUCAUUUAACCUUAUCGAAGGUAAAAUCAAUAUUUGGAGUUAAGAAAUUUUUGGUGGUAGGACAUAUGUAUGGGUCAUAUGGAUGCAAGCCAAAUAUGGAAAGGAUUGAUAUUAUAAAAAAGAUGAAAAAAUAUGCAAAUAUAAUGAAAGUUAGAAGGUUUUUAGGAGUAUGUAUUUUCUAUCAUAUAUGGAUAUCACAUUUUGCACACGUAGGAAAUCUAGUAUAUGAGUUGUUAAGAAAGAAUCAAAAAUUUCAAUAGAAAGAAGAGCAAAGAAAAGCUAUGAAAAAAUUGAAAAAACUUCUUUCUUCACAUCCAACUUUGAAGAAAGUAAAUAAUGAGUGUGGAAGACCAGUGGUAUUGAUAGUGGAUAGAAGUCCAAUUGGAAUAGAUUGGACAAUUGAACAAGAUGAUGAACAAGGCAAUAGAUAUGUAAUAAGGUUUGGAGCAAGGAUUUUGAAUGCUAGACAUAGAAGAUAAGUACAAAUUAAAAGAGUAUUAUGGAAUGUAGUAAUUCAAAUAAAAGAGAAUAUUUGAUUGAUACAUUGGUAUUUAUAAAAAUAGAUUGUCAACCUUUAUUGAGCAUGAUUACGAGUUGUUCAACACUAGAUAUUGUAAUAUUAAGAUGGAUUACGUAUAUAAAGUCUAUGAAUCUUGAAUUCAAGCACAUUUUGAGAAAUGACAAUGUGGUUGUAGAUAUGUUGUCACAAGUACAAUAUAAUAAUGAAGAUGAUAUGAUUGAUGAUGAAGAAAAUAUCAACAGUGACUUUUAUUCAACUUUGUGUGCAAGAAGAGAUAGAUUGUCUUUGGCUAUACCAUUUAAAUUAUUCUUAGAAGAAUUAUAUGAUGGUGAAUGAUUGUAUAUAGGAAAAUAUUUAAGUACAUUAAUACGGCAAGAAGGUUGGACAAACAGAGAAUUUAAGAGGAUUCAAAAAAAAGUAUAUGAAUGUUUUCUUUAAAAUGAAUUUUUAUGGAAGCAUCCAAAGAAAAGAAAUAGAAUACCAUGAGUUGUAAAUGAGAUUGAGAUGCAUCAAAAAAUCAUUAAAGAAUUUCGUGAGAGUCGAUGGACAAGGAAUCAAGGUAUUUGAACAAUAUUUACUAAGUUGAAAGAAAAAUAUUGGUAGAAGGGCAUGUACAAAGGUAUAGCAAAUUUUGUAGGAUCUUGUGAAAUUUGUCAAGUAUAUUCAAACAUUUGGCAUUGAGAUGGAUUACACCCAACAUAUCUUUUAGCUUUAUAUUAUAAAUGGGUGGUGGAUUUAGUAACAAUGCCAAUUGGACUUAGACAAAUGAAGUAUUUGGUACUUGCAUGAGAAGAUUUAUCAAAUAUGGUUGAAGGACAAGCAUCAAAAAUAAAGGAUAUUGAAGGUGUAUGCCAAUUUUUAUUGGAAGAUAUUAUUUAUUGCUAUGGUUGUAUUAAAAGAAUUAUAGCA